rnacentral:misc_RNA from 1 species
AUUAUUGAAUGUAAUACGCGCGAUGUCAGAGCAAAUUGAAGAGCAAAUACACGUUGAUAAUUAUUAAAAGAAUCAUGAGGCAAGAGUUCGAAAUUAUCGAUAAAAUAAUCAUUCGUUCGAUCAGUUGUUUGUCGGCUACAAAAAUAACAAUGAUAGCAAAAAAUAUGAUCCAAAGAUAGAUCGUUUAAAUACAAGUGGUAAAAAACAAUUUCAUUGUCCUCGAUUUUCUCGUUCUCGUUUUGCGAGCUAUUGAUCCAAUCAGUGUGCAAUAUCGCGAGAGAGAGAGAGAGAGAGAGAGAGAGAGAGAGAGGAAGAAAAUAGUAUUCGCGAACCGACGAGCAACAGUCGGAUUAAUUGUUCUUUCCGGCGUUGUAUUACGUAGUGCACCUGUUGCGUUCGAGCAUUGGGAAAAAAAGAUCGGGCUUUUUGACGAAUGGAAUUGGAAAACAUGGCGGAUGUACGAUUACGUACGUUGUAACAAUGAAGUUUUAUAUAAUACACUGUAUCUAUUAUACGGUAGAUCCGAUUUUAGCCAGUUCUCAUUACGAUUCCUUUUCCGGUUUCCUUCUCGCUGAAAAUAAUUUGAUUUCGUCAUCAUUUCCCUCGGGUGAAUAUUAUUUCGCUUCGUGAACUUUUAAUUAGUGGAAUGUUUCGUUUUAGUAAUUAUUCGGCCCCGAUUCGAUCGAUUUUGUGAUUUCAGCUAGUUUUCAGAAACGGCAGGUCCUCUAGAUUUCAAUUGAAAGACGCGUCAGUAAAAAAUAAAGUAAAAAAUAAAAAAAGAAAAAACACCAAAGGGGAUUGUGCGUUUGAAGAGAUCGCGGGAUCGAGGGAUGUAAGCGACUUCCUGUCCAAGUAUCUCCAUCUGUUCCGAUUUGGAAGAGUCCGACGUCCAAGUCGGUAAAGUCGCUUCCUUCGUUCUUUGUUUUCGAUUCUCUGCGUUUAUGGGAUCGUUUCGGACGAUGCUCUAUCGUAAAUCCUACAGACGCGUCUUCUACAAGGAAUUCACGAUAAAACAAAGG